AUCCAGAACACAGUGAUGCUUAUUGUCCAAGCACAUAACUGACAUUUAUUGUGUGGAAACUAAUGAUUCUGAGUUCUGGAC